CAGCACCUCAAGUGGUCAGGAUGAUUAUUGGGCCUAAAGCAUCCGUAGCCGGCUCUGUAAGUUUUCGGUUGAAUCUGUACGCUCAACGUACAGGCUGCCGGGAAUACUGCAGAGCUAGGGAGUGGGAGAGGUAGACGGUACUCGGUAGGAAGGGGUAAAAUCCUUUGAUCUAUUGAUGACCACCUGUGGCGAAGGCGGUCUACCAGAACACGUCCGACGGUGAGGGAUGAAAGCUGGGGGAGCAAACCGGAUUAGAGACCCGAGUAGUCC
rnacentral:rRNA from 1 species